UUCUCAAAGCAUGAAUAUUUAGUGAUGCCUAAUGACUAAUAAGUGUCAACAUACUAUUAAGCAUCAUUAACAAUUGUUAAGAGAAUGUUUAUUUGGAAUGGUUAGGAUCCAAAGAGAGUGAUUAGAAACCAACAAAAUGGCAAUUUGGUGAAUAUGACUUAGUUAGAGGGCAAAUGAGACAUUAACCUCUAUUGCAUGGGCUAAGACCAAUUAGGUAAGAGCACUAUUUUUCUAAUUCAGAUUUUUAUGAAAGUGAAAGAGUUAGAAGCACAAAGAGAAAGAACAAUCAAGCCCAACAAGAGCAUUUUCGCAACCUUGAUACAGCUCCACUAAAUCAGCUUCUGUUUUGAAGGAGAAAAACGAGUUUGAAGUUGGAAGCUCCAUGCUGUAUGUGUGUCAAAGUGUGAUUACGGGUUUGAUGAGGAUGGAGUGGAACUUUGGCUAUGGUGGGAGUUCAAUGGCAGCAAAGAACAUGAUCUCAACCUCCAUUUUAGCAAGGUGUGGUUUAGUAGCGUUUGGUCAGUAACAGGUAUGGACUGAAGACUUGGAAGGGGUGUU